CCUACGGGAGGCAGCAGUGGGGAAUCUUGCGCAAUGGGCGAAAGCCUGACGCAGCAACGCCGCGUGCGGGAAGAAGGCUCUCGGGUUGUAAACCGCUUUCAGCAGGAACGAAAAUGACGGUACUUGCAGAAGAAGGUGCGGCCAACUACGUGCCAGCAGCCGCGGUGACACGUAGGCACCAAGCGUUGUCCGGAUUUAUUGGGCGUAAAGAGCUCGUAGGCGGUUCGGUAAGUCAGGUGUGAAAACUUUGGGCUCAACCCAAAGCCUGCAUCUGAUACUGCUGUGACUAGAGUUCGGUAGGGGAGCGGGGAAUUCCUAGUGUAGCGGUGAAAUGCGCAGAUAUUAGGAGGAACACCGGUGGCGAAGGCGCCGCUCUGGGCCGAAACUGACGCUGAGGAGCGAAAGCGUGGGUAGCAAACAGGAUUAGAUACCCUGGUAGUCCACGCCGUAAACGUUGGGCACUAGGUGUGGGUUUCAACCAACGAAAUCCGCGCCGUCGCUAACGCAUUAAGUGCCCCGCCUGGGGAGUACGGCCGCAAGGUUAAAACUCAAAUGAAUUGACGG
rnacentral:rRNA from 1 species